rnacentral:rRNA from 1 species
ACGAACGCUGGCGGCAUGCCUAACACAUGCAAGUCGAACGAGACCUUCGGGUCUAGUGGCGCACGGGUGCGUAACGCGUGGGAACCUGCCCUUAGGUUCGGAAUAACUCCCCGAAAGGGGUGCUAAUACCGGAUAAUGUCUUCGGACCAAAGAUUUAUCGCCUUUGGAUGGGCCCGCGUUGGAUUAGCUAGUUGGUAGGGUAAAAGCCUACCAAGGCGACGAUCCAUAGCUGGUCUGAGAGGAUGAUCAGCCACACUGGGACUGAGACACGGCCCAGACUCCUACGGGAGGCAGCAGUGGGGAAUAUUGGACAAUGGGCGAAAGCCUGAUCCAGCCAUGCCGCGUGAGUGAUGAAGGCCUUAGGGUUGUAAAGCUCUUUUACCCGGGAUGAUAAUGACAGUACCGGGAGAAUAAGCUCCGGCUACCUCCG